GCUCUUCCCAUCUCAGUAGUCUGAGGGGGCUGCUGGAGUAUGGGGAACCUCACAAGGACCACGGGCCACUGUACAAUCAACACAACCUUUCCACUCUGCUCAGGAUACAUUAACCGUCG